GUCUACAGCCAUUGUACCCUGAACAAGCCCGAUCCCGGUUAAUCUCGGAAGCUGAGCAGCAGGGUCAGGCCUGGUUAGUACUUGGAUGGGAGACCACCUAGGCAGACCAAGUGCUGUAGAUG
rnacentral:rRNA from 1 species